AUUUCUACCGUUGCUGUUAUCAUGAGAAGUUGGCCACAGAGUUGAGAAGUUGGGUAGGCACUGCUGACUGCUUCUUUGAAUCAUGAACUUGAAGAGCUAGUGACUGAAGAAAUGAACUACAAAUCUGCAUACAUUAGAAGAUGGGAUAUUACUGAUUUGAUGUCUCAUGGAGAUCUCAGAGGAGCUUGGUUGCAGCUGGAAAUGGAACUGAACAGAAAAAAAACUUCAACAGCAAAAACUGGACGAGGUGGGGGAAAGAAUUAAAGCUGCUCCCCAGGCAUGAUAAUUCAUGAAACUUCCAAUUUUGGAGACUUGACACCUUUAUUGCAGCAGCUGGUGCUAACUGCUGUAGGAGACUGUGGGACAGCUGAUGUAUUGCACCCAGUCAAUUUUCUCCAACCUAUGGAGCUCAGAGUCCUGGCACAAGGACCUUCCACUCUGACCGCCAAGCUUUCCCCCAGAGAACAAGCUAUGUUGGCAACACCGAUGACCCCCCAGUCACAAAAGGACAAGCCAAAGCUUUGUGUUAUCUGAAUUUCACAAAAUGUCUACUUACCCCCUGCUUUGAGCAGGCUGUAAAGAAAGGGAAAGAUGUUGUUACUGGUUCUGGAAUGAGUCCUUCACACCAGCAGACUGGGAUGGAUCCAGCUGGUGAAAGAAACAUCAUGGAAACAAAAUCCACAGAGGAUCCACAUGGAAAAGAAUUCCUGAAGCCAAACACCAACAGAUCUCGGUAGUAUGUUGCAAACCAGACUUGAUAAAUAUGGCACUGCUGUAGGGCACAGACAAGGUUCAAAUCCUUCACCUUCUUUAAUUUACACAUGGGGGUGAACCUAAAUCUGCCACAUCCUUAAGUGCUCUGUCUGAAACCAGUGCAUGCAGCUCUUCCAGUUUCUCCUUUUGGAGUUGUUCUCUUCUGAGUAAAAAACCCAGCAUUUCAAGAAAGAAGAAAUGAUUCUCCAGCCUUAGAAGCUGAAAUCUUACAGCAGUUGGGCUGUUGUUAUCUAUAUGGCUCUUGUGCAUCAGGGAGAGGAAGUUCUAGUAGAGGCAUGCUGUGUCUCAGGCAUCCUGGCCAUGCAUUGUUGACUGUCUCAGAGAACACUGGAGACAAGAAUGAGAAGGCAUGGGAAAUAUCACCAUCAGCACUCACGGAUUUCAUUGCCUCUUUGCUUGUCAAGACACUGCUGAUUGAAAAACUGUUUUGUUUCCUGCCCUCAAAACCAGAGCCCAGCAGCUUGGCAGUAUGUUGGCAGGGUCUGGCAAAGAGCAGCCUGAGGAAGCGUCUGAUACAGCCAAGGACAUUAAAGAUUCUCAAGAUCCUCUUGGGGGUCUUGCUGAAGAGUUCCUGUGGCACUGAUGUUCCAUCCAGUCUGGCAGGAUGCAGUAACAUCACUGGCAAGUGUGGCCAGGUGCUGCAGCUCCCAUGUAGCCCACAGGAGGACAUCAGCCAUUCUGCAUAAUGCCCAGUGCAUAGCUAUCUCUGUCUCACCUUGGCUUUGAAGAAAAACUUGGAACUUUUUAUUCCAGUGGUUGCUUUCUCUUUGCUGACAAAAAUUAAUAUACUUUUCAGUUUUUUC
rnacentral:lncRNA from 1 species